rnacentral:ncRNA from 1 species
GUGUUUGUAGAAAGGGGAGACGGUUGGCAUCUCCCUGAAAAUUCUUCGGAUAUUCCUAUAGUGAAAGCGUGUUCUCAGUGGAUGAAAGUUCAGUUUAUAGAUAUUUUCAUCUUUUUAA